rnacentral:lncRNA from 1 species
UGCGAUUUUUUGAAUGGAAACACUAACGAAGAUUUUAAUUAAGAAUUAACACUCUGUAAGAUCGGCUGCUCAGGCAGCAAGGGAGUACUUGUAGCCCUGGAGAUGGAAAUGGGAUAAUUACUAAGGCAAAUGGAUCCGUCUGACCCAUUAUCCUUUAUUUCUUCCAGAUUCUAGAUGCUUCCCCAGCCCUUCCUUUAUGACUGUUUGACAAUGGAGCAGGAGGCCGUGGCUUUUCCCUGUAUCGGUUGAGCUCGAUCGUGUACAAUCUCCCACCCCCGGAGGUAAAAUCUCGCAGUUUCUUCAGAGUUACUACCGUGAUAUUACAACUUACGGUACGAAUGCUACUAACAAGGACAGCAGCAGCUGCAGCAGCUACAAUUAUUUACGGAACAAUUAUGCCAAGAAACAAUCACUCACCAUCAAAACAAUCCAAGAAGUUGCUAAUCCUGAUAUGGAAGAGAAUAUAGACUGAAGGUAUUGCAAGAC